rnacentral:rRNA from 1 species
CGUGUUACAAUGGGGGGUACAGAGGGCCGCUACCACGCGAGUGGAUGCCAAUCCCUAAAACCCCUCUCAGUUCGGACUGGAGUCUGCAACCCGACUCCACGAAGCUGGAUUCGCUAGUAAUCGCGCAUCAGCCACGGCGCGGUGAAUACCGUUCCCGGGCCUUGUACACACCGCCCGUCAAGCCAUGGGAGCCGGGGGUACCUGAAGUGCGUAACCGCGAGGAUCGCCCUAGGGUAAAACUGGUGACUGGGGCUAAGUCGUAACAAGGUAUC